CGUACGUACCCGAUUAACGAGGAAGCUUGCUUCCGAAGUGAGUGAUACCCUGCUUCCAGGAAAAGCCACUAAGCUUCAGCUACACACGACCGUACCGCAAACCGACACUGGUGCGCGAGAUGAGUAUUCUAAGGCGCUUGAGAGAACUCGGGAGAAGGAACUCGGCAAAUUGACACCGUAACUUCGGAAGAAGGUGUGCCUUUAGUAGGUGAAGGGAUUUACUCCUGGAGCCCAAUGAGGUUGCAAAAAAUCGGUGGCUGCGACUGUUUAUUAAAAACACAGCACUCUGCAAACACGAAAGUGGACGUAUAGGGUGUGACGCCUGCCCGGUGCUGGAAGAUUAAAUGAUGGGGUGCAAGCUCUUGAUUGAAGUCCCAGUAAACGGCGGCCGUAACUAUAACGGUCCUAAGGUAGCGAAAUUCCUUGUCGGGUAAGUUCCGACCUGCACGAAUGGCGUAACGAUGGCCACACUGUCUCCUCCCGAGACUCAGCGAAGUUGAAAUGUUUGUGAUGAUGCAAUCUCCCCGCGGAAAGACGGAAAGACCCCAUGAACCUUUACUGUAGCUUUGUAUUGGACUUUGAACGGAUCUGUGUAGGAUAGGUGGGAGGCUUUGAAGCAGGGUCGCUAGAUCUUGUGGAGCCAACGUUGAAAUACCACCCUGGUGCGUUUGAGGUUCUAACCUAGGUCCAUUAUCUGGAUCGGGGACAGUGCAUGGUAGGCAGUUUGGCUGGGGCGGUCUCCUCCCAAAGCGUAACGGAGGAGUUCGAAGGUACGCUAGUUACGGUCGGACAUCGUGACGAUAGUGCAAUGGCAUAAGCGUGCUUAACUGCGAGACUGACAAGUCGAGCAGAUGCGAAAGCAGGACAUAGUGAUCCGGUGGUUCUGUAUGGAAGGGCCAUCGCUCAACGGAUAAAAGGUACUCUGGGGAUAACAGGCUGAUACCGCCCAAGAGUUCAUAUCGACGGCGGUGUUUGGCACCUCGAUGUCGGCUCAUCUCAUCCUGGGGCUGUAGCCGGUCCCAAGGGUAUGGCUGUUCGCCAUUUAAAGAGGUACGUGAGCUGGGUUUAAAACGUCGUGAGACAGUUUGGUCCCUAUCUUCCGUGGGCGCUGCAGAUUUGAGGAAGCCUGCUCCUAGUACGAGAGGACCGGAGUGGACACACCUCUGGUGUAUCGGUUGUCACGCCAGUGGCAUUGCCGAGUAGCUAAGUGUGGAAGAGAUAACCGCUGAAAGCAUCUAAGCGGGAAACUCGUUUCAAGAUGAGAUCUGCCGGGGCCUUGAGCCCCCUGAAGAGUCGUUCUAGACCAGGACGUUGAUAGGUCAGGUGUGGAAGUG
rnacentral:rRNA from 1 species